rnacentral:rRNA from 1 species
AGUGGCGGACGGGUGAGUAACGCGUAAGAAUUUGCCUUUAGGAGGGGGACAACAACUAGAAAUGGUUGCUAAUACCCCAUAUGCUUUCGAGUGAAAUGGAUUUUUCCGCCUAGAGAGAAGCUUGCGGCUGAUUAGCUUGUUGGUGAGGUAAUGGCUCACCAAGGCGACGAUCAGUAUCUGGUUUGAGAGGACGAUCAGACACACUGGAACUGAGACACGGUCCAGACUCCUACGGGAGGCAGCAGUGGGGAAUUUUCCGCAAUGGGCGAAAGCCUGACGGAGCAAUACCGCGUGAGGGAUGACGGCCUAUGGGUUGUAAACCUCUUUUUUCAGGGAGGAAUCAAUGACGUGUACCUGAAGAAUAAGCAUCGGCUAACUCCGUGCCAGCAGCCGCGGUAAGACGGGGGAUGCAAGUGUUAUCCGGAAUCACUGGGCGUAAAGCGUCUGUAGGUGGUCCAAUAAGUCAACUGUUAAAUCUUGAGGCUCAACCUCAAAAUCGCAGUCGAAACUAUUAGACUAGAGUAUAGUAGGGGUAAAGGGAAUUUCCAGUGGAGCGGUGAAAUGCGUAGAGAUUGGAAAGAACACCGAUGGCGAAGGCACUUUACUGGGCUAUUACUAACACUCAGAGACGAAAGCUAGGGUAGCAAAUGGGAUUAGAUGCCCCAGUAGUCCUAGCCGUAAACAAUGGAUACUAGAUGUU